GUGCUGGUGGUACAGUGGUAGAAUUCUUGCCUUCCAUGCAAGAGACCAGGGUUCGGUUCCCACCAAUGUA
rnacentral:tRNA from 1 species